UACGGAGGGGGCGAGCGUUAUUCGGAAUUAUUGGGCGUAAAGGGCGCGUAGGCGGCUUGUCAAGUCAAAGGUGAAAUCCCUCGGCUCAACUGAGGAACUGCCUUUGAAACUAGCGAGCUUGAGGCCGGGAGGGGGUAGCGGAAUUCCCAGUGUAGCGGUGAAAUGCGUAGAUACUGGGAGGAACACCAGUGGCGAAGGCGGCUACCUGGACCGGUUCUGACGCUGAGGCGCGAAAGCGUGGGUAGCAAACAGG
rnacentral:rRNA from 1 species